CUUAACCUAGAAUCCCAAUUCCCAAUCCAGUUUUGCGUCUCUUUGCGGAAGAAGAAGAUGAGCGACGCCAACGGCGGCGAGACCUAGGCACCUAGGGCAGCGACGCCAACCUCCACCGUCCUCAAACCCUAAUCGCCACCACCGUCUCGAUUCGUUCCUGAUUCCAGCUCAAAAUUCCCCUCCAUAAAUUGAUUACGCACAGUAAAAGGUUCCUGCAGAGUAUUGUGUGAUCAGAUUAGUUUCUUUGAUUGAAAGCGGUCAAAAUAUAAUUGGUUGACUCUAGGGAGAUACCAUGGACAUUGAUCGUCCCUUGGAGGAUCAGGUGAAGCCACUCCCAGAAAUCUUAAACAUCAUACAGCAGUACCAUUCCAUCCAUACUAUGACGCCACUGCAGAAUCUUGACUAUGAUGAAUACUUCCAGGUGGAGGACCGACCAAACUCCACCAUGCUGCUAGAUAAGGUCGUAAGACUGACUUUUGAGCACUUGGAUUCAGUGGAGAAUGAAACAAAAUUCUCAUAUGAAAUCCCCUCAUGCUCCCGCUCCAAUCAAGCAUACGUGCACGUCGCCAUGUUCUGAAGAAGCGCAAAUUCUACCGGACCUUCUAUAAUAGAAACAUGAUCCAGAAAUUCACGUAUCACUUCUCGGAUACUGUACAUCGUCAUGGAACUCCUCAUUGAUGAUGUCUAUAUAACUAAGAGGGAUCAGACUCUAGAUCGAUAACUUUGGCCAUGUGGUACGGAAUCGACUUGCCACUCAGAUCUAAUUUUGCACAAUCAACUAAAUCCCCAUCUUCCUUAAAACACAAAUUACCAAUUACCGUUCCUUUUGAAGCGCCAACAAUAUGAAGGUUUGACCGUGU